rnacentral:rRNA from 1 species
UACGUAGGGGGCAAGCGUUGUCCGGAAUCAUUGGGCGUAAAGAGCGUGUAGGCGGCCAGGUAGGUCUGCUGUGAAAACUCGAGGCUCAACCUCGAGACGUCGGCGGAAACCAUCUGGCUAGAGUCCGGAAGAGGAGAGUGGAAGUUCCUGGUGUAGCGGUGAAAUGCGCAGAUAUCAGGAAGAACACCCGUGGCGAAGGCGGCUCUCUGGGACGGUACUGACGCUGAGACGCGAAAGCGUGGGGAGCGAACAGG